GACGAACCGUGCGAACGUUAUUCGGAAUCAUUGGGCUUAAAGCGCGUGUAGGCGGGUUCGUGCGUCUGUCGCUGAAAUCCCCCGGCUCAACCGGGGAACGGGCGCGGAUACGACGAGCCUGGAGGGGCAUAGGGGGACCUGGAACUUCCGGUGGAGCGGUGAAAUGCGUUGAGAUCGGAAGGAACGCCCGUGGCGAAAGCGAGGUCCUGGAUGCCUACUGACGCUGAGACGCGAAAGCCAGGGGAGCGAACGGG
rnacentral:rRNA from 2 species